AAACUUCAAAAUACCACAUACAUGUGAUUUCACAUAUUUUUUCACUUUAAUAUUUUAUAAUUUAGAGAAAACUUCGAAAACCCUCCCUGUGGUUUCGUGCAUUCUCACUUUGCUACCCUGUGGUUUAAAACGUAUCAAUUUACCCCCUGUGGUUUCAUUUUUAUCUUUUCGGAAGCUUUUUCGUUAAUAUUUCGUUAAAUUAUAUACAAAAAACUUCAGAUAACCAUCUAUAUUUAUCGAAUAGUCACUUUAGUAUCCUUUAAUUUUAACUUUGUCACUGAUUUUAAAAAAAAAUAAUAAUAAAAUUGAUAACAAAAAGAUAAAAACGAAACCACAGGGGGGCAAAUUGAUACGUUUUAAACCACAGGGUAGCAAAGUGAGAAUGCACGAAACCACAGGGGGGGUUUUUGAAGUUUUCCCUAUAAUUUAAAGUGUAUCAAUUUAAUACCUUAUAAUUUUAUAUUUUUUUAUUUUAGUAUUCUGUAAUUUAAAGUGCAUCAAUUUAGUACCAUAUGAUUUUAUUUUUCUCUUUUUGUCGGUUCUUUUGUUAAUAUUUCGUUAAGUUAUAUACAAAAAACCUUCAUAUACCCUAUUUAGAUUUAUCGAAUAUUUACUUUAGUACCUUUUAGUUUUAACUUUGUCACUGAUUUUUUUUUCCUCUGUGAAUGUUUCGUUAAAUUAUAUACAAAAAACUUCAUAUACCCUACCUAAAUUUAUUGAAUAUUCACUUUAGUACCCUUUAAUUUUAACUUUGUUACUGAUUUAACGAAAAAAUUUAGUGAAAUGGAUAAUGAAAAGAGAAAAAUAAAAUCAUAGAGUACUAACUUGAUACACUUUAAAUCACAAGGUACUAAAGUGAGAAAGUGUGAAACCACAGGGGCUAACUUAAUACACUUUAAAUCAUAGGAUACUAAAGGGAGAAAGUGUGAAACCGUAAAUUUACCAACUUAUCUGUACUAUGUACUUGUUUGAAUCGAUUUGCUCAAUCUUUCAACAUUUUGAUUUUAUAAUCAAAUCUUUCAAUCUGCUUGAUUUGAGUCAUGCUACGAAACUUUGACUUUCACAUUUGAAUGUGCUAUUUAUCUUUAUAGAUAUCGUUAGUAUAUUUCAUAUAAUUCUCGCAGCAUUAGAUAAAUUAAAGUAAAAAAUUAGAUUAAAUUUUAAAGUCAAAAUGCCAUCGAUGCGGCCAAUAUAGCGUUAAAAUUCAUGAAGAAAAAAAAAACAUGAUUUAAUG
rnacentral:lncRNA from 1 species